rnacentral:rRNA from 1 species
GCACAACGCGAAGAACCUUACCAGGCCUUGACAUGCAGAGAACUUUCCAGAGAUGGAUUGGUGCCUUCGGGAACUCUGACACAGGUGCUGCAUGGCUGUCGUCAGCUCGUGUCGUGAGAUGUUGGGUUAAGUCCCGUAACGAGCGCAACCCUUGUCCUUAGUUACCAGCACGUUAUGGUGGGCACUCUAAGGAGACUGCCGGUGACAAACCGGAGGAAGGUGGGGAUGACGUCAAGGUCAUCAUGGACCCUUACGACCUGGGCUACACACGUGCUACAAUGGGGCGUACAAAGGGUUGCCAAACCGCGAGGUGGGGCUAAAUCCCAUAAAAACGUCUCGUAGUCCGGAUUGGAGUCUGCAACUCGACUCCAUGAAGUCGGAAUCGCUAGUAAUC